CUUAAAGCUGUCUCGCACCCAGGCCAAAGGAGUUUGCGAUAUGCUACUGUUGCCGCUGGGGGCACUGCCAAAGCUUCGUACUGUAAUCGCUACUGUUUGACAACGACUGUCAACUCUUGACAGCGGUAAAAAUGACAGUAAAAGAAUAAAACAGAUCUUAGAUGUAAAGAAAAAGAAAUUCAGAAAACUUACAACUAGAGUGAAUUGAAUUAGCUAAUCCUAAAUGUUAUCACUAUUCUAGUCAAUAACAUGCAAAGUCCAAUUGUGAGGUUAAAAUGAUAUAACUGUUACGUCGGGGAGAACAAUGUGGAUUGUAAUUGCGUAAAAGCACCGAAAGUUUUAAAGCUGCGCUAAACCACAAAUUUCACCGUGCGGUUUUCAUGCUGCUGACGACCCGGUGUCCAGCCGUAAACCAAGAGUUCCCCGCCAACAUACUUUAAAACUUUCGAUGGAACAUUCGCUGGUACCACCGAAGCCAGCAACAGCGGGAAGCUGCGUUAGCUAUUCGCGCCCCGAUACACCACAACCUACCGUGGAUCUGCCGCAGAUGAGUGUACCAG